rnacentral:miRNA from 1 species
AAUAUGGAUCGGAGGGAGUAC